ensembl:lncRNA
AAUGAACUCAUUACUAAAUGUAGAUAGAUGUGUUCAUCCAUUCCUUCAGUAAAUACUGAGGUGAUAUAGGUACUGGGGAGGCAAAAAAUAGGAUGAGAGAGACUGUGUGCUGCCCUGAAAGACUUUAUACAGUAGUUUGGUAGAGAGCAUCUUUCCAAAUACCUUAACACUCUGUUCUUGUUGUGAUUACAGAGAUGUGGGACAAAAUCUGCAGACCAGUAUUCUGUCCAGAUUAAUGGGGGAAGAUCAUGUGUUCGGUGUGUGUCCUAAAUGAAUGAGAAAUGACUCUUAUUUCCACAAGCUUCUUAAAGGAGAAUACACACCUGAGAGUUCUACUCUGGACCAGCUUUAAACAAACAAAAACCAAACCCUAAGAUGAUGUUAAGAAUUGAGAGGCCUCACCCCCACCCCGCCUCCCAGCAUAAGCAAGCAGACAGCAUCUUUCUCCAUCAUGCCCUUCUGCCAUGAUAUUUUCAUCUUGGAGUCAGCCAACCAUGGACUGAAUCUCUUGAAACUGUGACCCAAAUCCAAUGUUUCUUUCUUUAACUUUCCGUGUCUUCUGGACAAGAUUUACAGAGCUCUGCUUAUUUGGAUGAAAAAUAGAGAGAGACAAGCUGUCAGUAUAAGUUUGCUCCAAGCUCUUCUUGUACAUUUCCAUUCCCAGAUCAAUAAUCUGUACUUUCAGGGGAUGAAGGAUGCACAGGUAAUGGGGGAAAAAAUAAGAACCAAGAUACAUCAUGUACAGGUACAAGCACCCAAUGAUAAAUGUAAACAUAUUGUAUACCUAAAAUGUACCAGUAAAAGAAUUAAAAAAAUUAAUCUGUACUUUCUUCAGGAAGCUCUGGUUCAUUUUAUUGGAGAAUAGAAUAGAAACUAAUUUCUAGAUACUAAUGGUGCUAGUUGUUACUAAGUUAUAUUCCCAUGUUGUCUCUCAGCUCUAAGGACAAGAAUGUAUACAUGUAUAUACUAACCUAUGUUCUACAUAUAUGUGUAAAUAUUCCUAUCAGUAGCCAUUUCUGUAUUUAUUAAAUUAAACAUGAGUUCAUGGUGUUGGCUCCAAUUACAGCCCCUUAAAAUUGGGAGCAUUCAAGCUUCAUUUUGCUAACCUGUAAAUUCCCACUCUAACAGUGCAAAAUCUGGGCAUCCAGUUGUACAACUUGUUACUUGUUUACUUUAUUUUAAAUUCCAGUGCACAUUCAUAGUCGUGUCAUGACUGUUAGCUUGUACUGCCAUGGGACACAGCUCUGUGAACUAAAAACAGGACUGAUGCAGAGUUCUUUGUGCCUUUAGUCUUACAGAUUCCACUCUUUUCUAAUGUUACUUAGGUCAUUUCCUUUCUCCCAUUCUCUUCCUUUAGGUCCUUCCAUACAUUUGAAAUAUGAUUACAUUGUCUUGUCACAGUCUGCAUUCUUUCCAGGAAUUCCCUUACCUCCUAAAUAAUUUAUUAAAAUUUUCAUACAUCAUAAUUUGUUCCUUGUGCUUUAAUGCACUGUAGAUUGUGACAAUGUGUAAUGACCAUGUUUCUGAUUACAAUAUUAUGCAGAAUAAAUUUUUCACCCUAAAAAUGCUCUGAGUUUCACUUAUUCACUUCUUUUGUUCCCAAACUCCUAGCAAUUGCUGAUCUUUUUACCAAUUCUAUAAUUUUUCAUGUUCCAGAAUGCCAUUUAUUUGGAACUGUGCAGAAUAUAGACUUUGGCAUGGUCUUAUUUCACUUGACAGUAUUCCUUUGCUUGUUGUAGUUAUUCUCAACUAAUAUCUGUUUGUAUGGAUAUAUCAUAGUUUGUUUGUUCAUUUACUGAUUAAAGGGAUAUUGGCGGCAUUUAGAUUUUAAUUGAUUAUGAAUAAAACCAGUAUUCAUGUAAAGAAAGUUUUUGUGGGCAUAAAAUUUUAACUCAUUUGUUCAAAUACCUAGCAACAUUAUUGAGAGGUCAUAUAUAAGUCUAUGCAUAGCUUUGUAAAAAAAUUUGUAGAAGCAAUUAUAAAAUAGCUGUGUUAUUUUGCAUUCUCGCUGGAAAUAAAUGAGUUUUUCUUUUGUUUUAUCUUCAUCAGAAUUUGACAUUGUCAGAUUUUUGGAUUUAGUCAUACUAAUAGGUUUAUAG